rnacentral:rRNA from 1 species
CCUACGGGAGGCAGCAGUGAGGAAUAUUGGUCAAUGGGCGGAAGCCUGAACCAGCCAAGCCGCGUGAAGGACGACGGUCCUAUGCAUUGUAAACCUCUUUUGUCAGGGGACAAAAUGCGGUACGUGUGCCUCACCGAGGGUACCCGAAGAAAAAGCAUCGGCUAACUCCGUGCCAGCAGCCGCGGUAAUACGGAGGAUGCGAGCGUUAUCCGGGUUUAUUGGGUUUAAAGGGGGCGUAGGCCGCGGAGUAAGGGCGCCGGUAAAUUUCGGGGCGCAACCACGGCACUGCUGUUGGAACUGGCUGGCUGGAGUGCGCGAGACGUAUGCGGAAUGCGUGGUGUAGCGGUGAAAUGCAUAGAUAUCACGAAGAACUCCGAUUGCGAAGGCAGCAUACCGGAGCGCAACUGACGCUGAGGCACGAAAGCGCGGGUAUCGAACAGGAUUAGAUACCCGAGUAGUC